rnacentral:rRNA from 1 species
GACGAACGCUGGCGGCGUGCUUAACACAUGCAAGUCGAACGGAAAGGCCCUGCUUUUGUGGGGUGCUCGAGUGGCGAACGGGUGAGUAACACGUGAGUAACCUGCCCUUGACUUUGGGAUAACUUCAGGAAACUGGGGCUAAUACCGGAUAGGAGCUCCUGCUGCAUGGUGGGGGUUGGAAAGUUUCGGCGGUUGGGGAUGGACUCGCGGCUUAUCAGCUUGUUGGUGGGGUAGUGGCUUACCAAGGCUUUGACGGGUAGCCGGCCUGAGAGGGUGACCGGCCACAUGGGUACUGAGAGACGGACCAGUCUCCAACGAGGGGCAGCAGUCGGGAAUAUUGCACAGUGAGAGGAAGCCUGAUGCAGCGGCCUCGCGUGCGGAAUGACGGCCUUCUGGGUGUAAACCGCUUUCGCCUGUGACGACGCGUGAGUGACGGUAAUGGGUAAAGAAGCACCGGCUAACUACGUG